rnacentral:rRNA from 1 species
UAGGGAAUCUUCGGCAAUGGACGAAAGUCUGACCGAUCAACGCCGCGUUAGUGAAGAAGGUUUUCGGAUCGUAAAACUCUGUUGUUAUAGAAGAACAAGGACGUUAGUAACUGAACGUCCCCUGACGGUAUCUAACCAUAAAGCCACGGCUAACUACGUCCCAGCAGCCGCGGUAAUACGUAGGUGGCAAGCGUUUUCCGCAUUUAUUUGGCGUAAAUCGAGCGCAGGCGGUUUCUUAAGUCUGAUGUGAAAGCCCCCGGCUAAACCGGGGAGGGGCAUUGGAAACUGGGAGAGUUGAGUGCAGAAGAGGAGAGUGGAAUUCCAUGUGUAGCGGUGAAAUGCGUAGAUAUAUGGAGGAAAAACAGUGGCGAAGGAGGACCCCUGGAAGAAGACAGACGAUAAGGUGCGAAAGAGUGGGGAGCAAACAGG